AACCACGAUGACGAGUUAAGAUGCUUUCUUCUGAGCGUGAAUCGGGUGGUGAGCGACGAGCGAGAUUGUCUGCUCUCUGUCGUUGAUGAACGUUCCUGCUGUGCUUUGCAGUCUGGAAGAAGAAAGCAUGUUCAGAGUGGU
ensembl:snoRNA U3 Small nucleolar RNA U3